rnacentral:rRNA from 1 species
CGGGGGGCAGCAGUCGAGAAUUUUUCACAAUGGGGGAAACCCUGAUGGAGCGACGCCGCGUGGAGGAUGAAUGCCCUUGGGUUGUAAACUCCUGUCAUAAGAGAACAAGAAAGUGAUAGUAUCUUAAGAGGAAGAGACGGCUAACUCUGUGCCAGCAGCCGCGGUAAUACAGAGGUCUCAAGCGUUGUUCGGAUUCAUUGGGCGUAAAGGGUGCGCAGGCUGUGUGGUAAGUCGGGUGUGAAAUUUAGAGGCUCAACCUCUAAACUGCACCUGAUACUGCCAUGCUAGAGGACUGUAGAGGAGAUUGGAAUUCACGGUGUAGCAGUGAAAUGCGUAGAUAUCGUGAGGAAGACCGGUGGCGAAGGCGAAUCUCUGGGCAGUUCCUGACGCUCAUGCACGAAGGCUAGGGGAGCAAACGGGAUUAGAUACCCGAGU